rnacentral:rRNA from 1 species
GAUCAUGGCUCAGGAUGAACGCUAGCGACAGGCUUAACACAUGCAAGUCGAGGGGCAGCGGGGUGUAGCAAUACACCGCCGGCGACCGGCGCACGGGUGAGUAACGCGUAUGCAACUUGCCUAUCAGAGGGGGAUAACCCGGCGGAAGUCGGACUAAUACCGCAUGAAGCAGGGAUCCCGCAUGGGAAUAUUUGUUAAAGAUUCAUCGCUGAUAGAUAGGCAUGCGUU